rnacentral:miRNA from 1 species
UCCCUGAGAGGGGAACUUGUGA